AAUCCAUAGGUUAAUGAGGCGAACCGGGGGAACUGAAACAUCUAAGUACCCCGAGGAAAAGAAAUCAACCGAGAUUCCCCCAGUAGCGGCGAGCGAACGGGGAGGAGCCCAGAGCCUGAAUCAGCAUGUGUGUUAGUGGAAGCGUCUGGAAAGGCGCGCGAUACAGGGUGACAGCCCCGUACACAAAAGCGCAUGUGCUGUGAGCUCGAUGAGUAGGGCGGGACACGUGGUAUCCUGUCUGAAUAUGGGGGGACCAUCCUCCAAGGCUAAAUACUCCUGACUGACCGAUAGUGAACCAGUACCGUGAGGGAAAGGCGAAAAGAACCCCGGCGAGGGGAGUGAAAAAGAACCUGAAACCGUGUACGUACAAGCAGUGGGAGCACAGGUUUACCUGUGUGACUGCGUACCUUUUGUAU
rnacentral:rRNA from 4 species